rnacentral:misc_RNA from 1 species
GCAAACUUGGUCAUUUAGAGGAAGUAAAAGUCGUAACAAGGUUUCCGUAGGUGAACCUGCGGAAGGAUCAUUAUCGAGUAUCGGGUGCUCUCGCGCCCUACUCCCACCCUAUGUUUAUCUAUAACUGUUGCUUUGGCGGGCCGGUGGGUCAAUCACCGCCGGGCGGCGCCUGGAGAGCGCCCGCCAGAGGACCAAACAAACUCUUGUCAACCUGUCGCAUCUGAGCACAUGAGAAUAAGCAAAACUUUCAACAACGGAUCUCUUGGUUCUGGCAUCGAUGAAGAACGCAGC